rnacentral:rRNA from 1 species
GGUUAAGCGACUAAGCGUACACGGUGGAUGCCCUGGCAGUCAGAGGCGAUGAAGGACGUGCUAAUCUGCGAUAAGCGUCGGUAAGGUGAUAUGAACCGUUAUAACCGGCGAUUUCCGAAUGGGGAAACCCAGUGUGUUUCGACACACUAUCAUUAACUGAAUCCAUAGGUUAAUGAGGCGAACCGGGGGAACUGAAACAUCUAAGUACCCCGAGGAAAAGAAAUCAACCGAGAUUCCCCCAGUAGCGGCGAGCGAACGGGGAGCAGCCCAGAGCCUGAAUCAGUGUGUGUGUUAGUGGAAGCGUCUGGAAAGGCGCGCGAUACAGGGUGACAGCCCCGUACACAAAAAUGCACAUGCUGUGAGCUCGAUGAGUAGGGCGGGACACGUGGUAUCCUGUCUGAAUAUGGGGGGACCAUCCUCCAAGGCUAAAUACUCCUGACUGACCGAUAGUGAACCAGUACCGUGAGGGAAAGGCGAAAAGAACCCCGGCGAGGGGAGUGAAAAAGAACCUGAAACCGUGUACGUACAAGCAGUGGGAGCACGCUUAGGCGUGUGACUGCGUACCUUUUGUAUAAUGGGUCAGCGACUUAUAUUCUGUAGCAAGGUUAACCGAAUAGGGGAGCCGAAGGGAAACCGAGUCUUAACUGGGCGUUAAGUUGCAGGGUAUAGACCCGAAACCCGGUGAUCUAGCCAUGGGCAGGUUGAAGGUUGGGUAACACUAACUGGAGGACCGAACCGACUAAUGUUGAAAAAUUAGCGGAUGACUUGUGGCUGGGGGUGAAAGGCCAAUCAAACCGGGAGAUAGCUGGUUCUCCCCGAAAGCUAUUUAGGUAGCGCCUCGUGAAUUCAUCUCCGGGGGUAGAGCACUGUUUCGGCAAGGGGGUCAUCCCGACUUACCAACCCGAUGCAAACU